GGGUCAAUGAUGAGAACUCAUACUGAAGGGAGAUGAUGACAUAAAAAUCAUGCUCGAUAGGAUUACACUGAGAUUU
ensembl:snoRNA SNORD115 Small nucleolar RNA SNORD115